UCCCCAGUGCUCCCACAGCUGCGGCAGAGGUUCCUCAGUGCGGGACGUGCAGUGUGUGGACACACGGGACCUCCAGCUGCUGCGGCCCUUCCAUUGUCAGCCUGGGCCUGCCAAGCCACCUGCGCACAGGCCCUGCGGGGCCCAGCCCUGCCUCAGCUGGUACACCUCUUCCUGGAGGGAGACGGGGUUGCCCGAGGAAGACAGCGACCAGUGUGGCCAUGAGGCCUGGCCUGAGAGCUCCCAGCCGUGUGGCACCGAGGAUUGUGAGCCUGUCGAGCCUCACCACUGUGAGCGGGACCCCGUCUUUCGGGUUCUGCGAGACGCUGCACCUACUGGACGGCUGCCAGCUGCCCACCAUCCACACCAGUGCUGCUGCUCAUGCUCUCUGCCCAGCCAUGGUGCCCCCUCCUGAGGCCAUCAGUGGGUCACCACCCACCGCUGACGUUGCCAGGAUGCACAGACCAACCGACAGACCUCAGUGCCCACAACGGGCUGUGGAGAAGCUCUUGCCCCCUGCGCCCUAAUGGUGCUAACCCUCUCCCUACCCAGCGGCAGGCUGGGGAACCUCCUCCCCCUC
rnacentral:lncRNA from 1 species